AGCUGCCGGAAUUCGGUCGGGCUCGACCCCCCUCGUGCGGGGCCGCCCGACCUCGAGAUCCGGCGGAGGCGGACGCAGUUGGCUCCCGCCCGAAGGACGCCGCAGCCGGUCGGGCAGAGCAAGCGCGACGGCCAGAGAGGCGGACGACGGCAGGUGGCCGGCUGCGCGCCGCAAGGUGCGCGGCCGGUCGUUAGCCGGUCCGUCGGUGGCUCGUCGCCCGACCGAGGUGUCGAGAGACCCUUAACGGGCCUCAUCGCCUCCUCCAGCACGGAAGUCGGGCCUGGGCUUCGCGUCCGGUUGUCGCCGUUCCCGUCGCACCCCUCUGGGCGUGGGCGGUCGAGCGGUAGGCGCCGGUCGCGUCGUCGGACCCGUCGGAGGCCGGAGGCUG
rnacentral:rRNA from 1 species